rnacentral:lncRNA from 1 species
AGGUACAUGUUGGAACUUGAAGCAAUUCCAGCAGUUAUACAGUUUUUUGGCUGUCUCUUUUUGCCUGAAAAUCCUCAAUGGCUUAUUCAGAAAAGACAGACUCAGAAGGCCUAAAGAAUUUUAUCUCAGAUGGAUGGUAACCAGACCAGUGAUGAGGAAUAUGACAGCAUCAUAAACAACAUUGAAGAAGAGGAAAAAAGAGUUUGGCUCAGCUGAAUCUGUGAUUUUCAGAAUGCUGAGUUACCCCCCAAUUUGCAGAGCUUUAAUUGUAGAUUAUGACCUACAAAUUUCCCAACAGUUCUCAAACAUUAAUACCAUCAUG